rnacentral:tRNA from 1 species
CGUGCUUCGCUUUUGAAUGUUGAGCAGAGCAUCCUGCUCCGCGCGGCGCGCGCCUAUUUCAACGUUGG